rnacentral:rRNA from 1 species
GUUGGGCCUGCUCGGUGAGAAGAAAAAUUUAACAGCUGCGGUAUUAUAACUGUACUAAGGUAGCAUAAUAAUUUGCCUUAUAAAUUAAGGCUAGAAUGAAUGGUUUGACGAAAAUUAGACUGUCUUUAUUUUAUUUGUUAGAAAUUAAUUUUUAUAGUGAAAAAGCUUGAAUAAUUUAAGGGGACGAGAAGACCCUAUUGAGCUUUAUUUAUUAAUAUUUAAAUAUAAAUAUAUAAUUUAUAUUAUGAAAAUUAUGUUGUAUAUAUAUAUAUAUAUAUAUUUAAUUGGAUUUAAUUUUGAUUGGGGUGAUCAAGGAAUAAAGAUAAAGUAACUUCCUUAAAAUUAAUGAUUGUUUUUAUAGAGUAAUAAACCAAGUUUUUUGCUUAUAAGAUAAGUUACCAUAGGGGUAACAGCGUAAUUUUUUUUGAGAGUUCAUAUUGAAAAAAGAGAUUGCGACCUCGAUGUUGGAUUAAAAAUUACCUUAAGG